rnacentral:rRNA from 1 species
GACGUAGGGGGCGAGCGUUGUCCGGAAUUACUGGGCGUAAAGAGCACGUAGGCGGAUAUUUAAGUCAGUUGUGAAAGACCGCAGCUUAACUGCGGGGUUGCAAUUGAAACUGGGUAUCUUGAGGGCAGGAGAGGUCAGUGGAAUUCCUGGUGUAGCGGUGAAAUGCGUAGAAAUCAGGAGGAACACCAGUGGCGAAGGCGGCUGACUGGACUGACCCUGACGCUGAGGUGCGAAAGCGUGGGUAGCAAACAGGAUUAGAAACCCCAGUAGUCC